CCUACGGGUGGCAGCAGUCGAGAAUCAUUCACAAUGGGGGAAACCCUGAUGGUGCGACGCCGCGUGGGGGAAUGAAGGUCUUCGGAUUGUAAACCCCUGUCAUGUGGGAGCAAAUUAAAAAGAUAGUACCACACGAGGAAGAGACGGCUAACUCUGUGCCAGCAGCCGCGGUAAUACAGAGGUCUCAAGCGUUGUUCGGAAUCACUGGGCGUAAAGCGUGCGUAGGCUGUUUCGUAAGUCGUGUGUGAAAGGCGCGGGCUCAACCCGCGGACGGCACAUGAUACUGCGAGACUAGAGUAAUGGAGGGGGAACCGGAAUGCUCGGUGUAGCAGUGAAAUGCGUAGAUAUCGAGAGGAACACUCGUGGCGAAGGCGGGUUCCUGGACAUUUACUGACGCUGAGGCACGAAGGCCAGGGGAGCGAAAGGGAUUAGAUACCCUAGUAGUC
rnacentral:rRNA from 1 species